rnacentral:sRNA from 1 species
AAGGGCGUACGGUGGAUGCCUAGGCACUAAGAGCUGAUGAAGGACGCGACUAACAGCGAAAUGCCUCGGGGAGUGGUACGUACACAACGAUCCGGGGGUAUCCGAAUGGGGAAACCCAAUACUGGUUAUGCAGUAUUACACAU